rnacentral:rRNA from 1 species
UACAGAGGUCUCAAGCGUUGUUCGGAUUCAUUGGGCGUAAAGGGUGCGUAGGCGGUUCGCUAAGUUGGAUGUGAAAACUCUGGGCUUAACCCAGAGCCUGCAUCCAAUACUGACGAGCUAGAGUUCUGGAGGGGGGUAGCGGAAUUCCUGGUGUAGCGGUGAAAUGCGUAGAUAGUCAGGAGGAACACCGGUGGCGAAGGCGGCUACCUGGACAGAGUCUGACGCUGAGGCACGAAAGCUAGGGGAGCAAACAGG